UUUAAAACCCUCCAGUUUAACACUGAAGUCCAAAAACCCCCCAAAGCGCCAAAAUGAAAUGAAAUCAUUUUUUUUAAAAAAAAACGAAAAACCCUCUCCAAUUCAAUCCUCUUCUUCUUAAUUUUCAGGGUUUCGAGAAUUCCAAUCUACGGAAAUCCCUUUCAAUGUCAAUCCCUAAAACCGUCGAUUCCUCGCUCCGGCGAAAAAGCUGAAGGAGAAUCACGCAUGGUUGGUGGAAACUCUUUCUCUAUUUAAGAAACUGAACGCGGCAUCACGAGUGGCUUUGAAUUAGGAGAAAAUCAAAGCUGUUUCUAAUUACAUUCACCUAGUGUCCUAUAUCAGUUGCCUGAUACCUUCUGGCUUUGUGUCAGUUCAUUAUCAGACACAUUUACAUAUAGGGUUCCACGCUCCGUUUAUCACAUGGCCAAUAACAUGCUUCAUCUUUGCAUUUUUGAGUUACGUGCAGGGAAUACAGGUUGCUGCUGCCAGGGUGCUAUCUAUGUUGUUUAUCACAGCAUAUUAUAUUGAACCAAAUUCGUCUGGCAAUGUGUGCCUUGGUCUGGAUGAUAAGCAGAUCGCAGAUAUAAGGCACUCUGUAAAAAGUACAUUAGUUAAGCAGUUGGACCAGAAUGGAGAUUUAUUUGUUGCCAAAGUCAAUCUGCUUACUGCUGCAACACAUUAUCAGGUAUGUUUUAAUAGGGCUUAUUUCCUAUAUCUUUCCACUUAAAUUGGCUUCUGACACAGAACUUCACGAUCCAUUCAUACAGUUUUUUUGCAGUUAUCUCAAUACUUACUCCCUCAUGGAAAACAUCUGGAUAGCUUUUAUUUUCUGAUAAAAUCUGGUAUCUCAAUAACAGCUUUCUAGCAUUGUACAUUGUUUGCUUAUUGGUGGUUUCUCUGUUGCAGCCUUCGUAUCUUCUUGCUUUUUUUUCAGCAGCCUGAUCAAUUUAUACACUUCUUGUGAAUAUGACAAUAAAAUACCUUAUCGUACAAAGUUGUCCUUUAAAUUUUCCUCCAUUUAUUUAUUAUUUGUUUUGGUUCUAUUGAUUCUGGCACUAUAACCUUAUUGACAUACAUGUUGCUAUAUCAUUUGACUGUGACGAACCAUUUUAGGAUCUAAAAUACCUCAGGAAGCACUCACUAAUAGGUUAUCAUAUCCACAAUUACAUGCCCUUGCAACUUGCAGGUUGCCACCAGUUUGUUCAUUGUACAUGUGAUGGGGAAAUUAGUAAUCGGUAAUGCAGGAAGUUUAUCUGUAUCAUUGGUUGAGAAGAUCCGCAUCGCUUUUAACACGUGUGAUACUGUCUUUAAUUGGGCAAGCAAUUCUCUCUAUUUAGUCAAUUGUUUGAUGAGUUUUGUCCACUUUAAAGUUGAUAGUUCGUUGGCAAUCCCUUCAAGAGGUCUUUCUAGUUAUUUAUUAACAGCAAUACCUGAUUUUUGCAAUUCUAUUGUUUUAAAGUGACAUUGCAUCUUUUUAGUUUGGGUGCAACAGUUGAGCUGUCAGCUUGCCUUAUCUGAAUUGUUGGCGUUACAGGUAACUUGAGCAUGUGUUUCAUAUUUUUAUUUGAUUGUUUUUUUUUAUGCGACUCUUAACUGAGAAAUCUAUUCGUCUAGGAUUGUGGUUGCUUGAAUGGAAAUGCAUUGCAAUGGAAUUUUUCCAAAGUCCGAUGUGAAAUCACUACAUGUUCCAUUGAAUCAUUAUGGUUUUAUUGUUGGAGAGACUAUUAUUCUUGUUCUAAUUCUGAGGCUCACCUCCUUUGGUAGUUUGAUAAUUUGUGUUGGGUUCUGAUUCAUUUGAACCUGUAAGUUGAAUUCUUAUCGUUUUUCAAUAUCUUCUCAGUGAAGUAAAGGAACUAAAAGGUCUGAUGCUCACUGAUCUCUACUAUCACCUUCAAGGAAAGCUAGAGGGUUGUAAAAUUGGUCCUGGACCAUUUAAAGAACUCUCUUGGUAUCUGGUGGAAUCAAACUGUUUGCUGAGCUAUCAACACAAGUAUGGUGACGAACAUUAUGGAAAGAUUUUCACUUGUAUGAGCUCAUGCAUAUACGAUCAGAUUUGUGUUUGAAUAUGUGGGAUUAUACAGAUUGGAAAGCUUCUAAAGCAAUCACACAAACAAUGUUGGAGUGCUUGAAGGAUGCAAAUUUGAAGGUUUUAAUAGCUAGUUCAAAGCUUUCUGCUCUGAAAGCAGUUCUAACUGCUCUUAGUAUGUGUGAAGAUAAUUCACCAUAGAAUAAGGCUACUACUGAGGUGAAGAUUCCUGACCGACUCUGCUUUUCAUGCAUUGACAACAUGUGUAAAUCUUUUCUCACCACAGUAGAAUCGCUAGCUCCAGUUCUGGAUGUCUCUGAAGAGAUCUUAAUUUCCUUGCUGCAAAAGCAGAAUUAAUUCUAAAUCUCAUGAGAUCUGCGCAAAUCAACUUAUCCAGUUCUGGAUGCCUCUGAAUAGAUUAUUAAUUUCCUUGCUGCAAAAGCAGAAUUAAUUCUAAAUCUCAUGAGAUCUGCGCAAAGCAACUUAUCUUUAUCCAUUUGUACACUUUUCUUGAAAAUGUCAGGUUCUGGCCUCAAAUUGCUGAAUGGGUUCAGGUCAUCUGUGACUGGGGUUAAAACUAUAAAGCUUUUGCUCAUGCUACUGCUUCUUGCUUUGGAGAUUAGUAAAAAUCUUCAGAAAAGGAAUCUCAAGACUUUGCUGAAGUUUCAAAUGUUUGCUAGGGCUUUUGCCUAUUCUGUGCAAUUGCAUUACAGCUACUGAGUGUAGUUCCCUCUCCUUGGCUACCAUUGACUUAGAACUGAGAAGAUUUUUGACACCUAACACUCGAUUCCCCUUCAUACAGAAACAUCUUCAAUUACCUCAUGUUAUUUUGAAACUUCAUGAUCAAAGUUCUUUCUCAUCUGUUCCAAUUACAUUGAAGUUCCUUUUGACUCUUGCACGUGUGAGAGGAGGUGUUGAAAUGCUCCUUAGUGCCGGUUUCUUCUCAUCUCUUAGAGCUUUGUUUGCAUAUUCAUCCGGUGUUGUGCCUUCCACAAUUAUGACAAAUGAUAAGGUCUUCAUAAAACAUUCUGACAAAACAGAAAAGCCUCAAACUAUCUGGGGCCUUGGCUUGGCAGUGGUCGUAGCUAUGAUUCACUCGUUAGGAGACAGUUCUUAUACUGAGAUUCUGGACAAGGUGAUUCCUUGUGUUUUAUCAGAGAAAGCUGAACUGAUUUCUUAUUAUAUCAGUGCACCUGAUUUUCCAUCUGAUAGUCGUGACAAGAAAAGACCACUGGCUCAAAGGACACAGACUUCUAUGAGUGCUCUUAAAGAAACAGAACAUACUCUCAUGUUGAUGUGUGUGCACUAGCUAAACAUUGGAGGUGAUGGGUUAAGGUCAUGAAAGAAAUGGAUUCAGAGCUGCUGGAGAAAAGUAUUCAUCUAUUAGCCUUUAUUAGUCCAGGAACUCAUCGCGUUGGAGAAUCUUCCAGAGGAGUUAGAAUUCUGCAAGAAACCAUCAUUUUUAAAAAGCAGGAAUGGAUUGUUUUCUCUUCCACCUCUCUGUUGUGCAUCAAAGCCCAUGUCUUCUGCUUUCUCAGUCAUCACUACUGCUACUGUAGGCAAGGGCCAUUCAACUAAAUUACCAAUCCAGUUUCUUCAGACUUGGUUGCCCUGCAUAUUUAUAGGAUCUCUUUUCUUCUCUUGAAAUACCUCUGUAUGGAAACAGAGGGCGCUGCUAAAAGAUCAGAGGAAGUGGGGUUUGCUGAUCUAACUCAGAUUCCUGAGCUGCCAAUGCCGGAGAUAUUGCAUGGCUUGCAGGAUCAGGCAGUUGCUGUUGUUCCGGAACUUUGUGGUUCAAACAAAUCAAAGUACAUCGAUCCUGAAAUCCAGCCAGUCUGUCCCUUACUACUACCGAUAGUGGAGAUGGCCCUAUAUUUGGAGUUCUGCGUUUUACAGAUUUGUGGAAUAAGCCCUGUAUUAGGGCGUGUGGAGGAAUUUUCGAAGGAAGCAAAAUAGUUGUCAAAAGGUAACAGCCCUUUCAUACUGCUAACUAUAUUCUGAAUUAAUAUUUUAGAUUUACUAUUAUAAUUGCCUUUGCUUUUUUUUUUUUGUAAGCCAUGGAAGUCCAUGCAUUCUUUAAAGCAUCAGUCACAUCCUUGAAACAUUUAACAUCUCUUGUCUAUCCCGUAUUGUUACAGACCGAAGGUUUUAGGCGAACUUAGUUGGGUGAGUAACAGAUCAUGAAAAUCCUGUACAGAUAUCAGAAUUAAGCAUGGCCAAGAUAUUUGCAUGAUUACAACGUAAAACUCUGUAUAACAUCAACAUGUGACAAUAUCAGAACCAUACAUCAUUGAUUAUCGCUUGGAUUUUCAUGGUUCCUCUAGCUCAGUGAAGGAAUAUCACACAAAUAUAAUGAAGAUGGUGCCAAAUAUCAUCGAUCUGGCGUUGUUUCGCAGUCAUCCUCUUUCCAUGAUUUUAAGGUGCCCUGUUACAAGAUAUGCCUUCCAGCAAGGGAUUAUAAUUAUUUCUCGAUCAUGCACCGACUGCUGCCUUCCAGCAAGGGAUUAUAAUUAUUUCUCGAUCAUGCACCGACUGCUGUAAUGAUGUAGGGAAAUGAAUUUUUCUAGGGGGACUGAAUUUUCACUUUUGUGCUUGAAUGGGCCCUGCCCCCUUUGCAUGCGUGAUGCCACAAGGUAGCAUGUUUUUGUGGUGAGACAAUUGUUGAAAAAAAAACAACUGCAUAUUAUUGCAGCUCUUGACAAGACAUGUAUCUUUGUCUCUCUUUUUAUGUAGGAGGUAAUGCUAUUCAUCCAGGAACAGGUCUCAAGUAAUUAGUUACUCCAAUAGUAUCUAUCAAUCAUGCGUUGUCAUGUAGAAUUUCCCUUCAUUGAUUCCAGAUCGAUAUCCAUGUCACCAAAAAUCAUCUUGAAAAAUUAAUCUGGUAUUUAU